rnacentral:rRNA from 1 species
AGAGUUUGAUCAUGGCUCAGGACGAACGCUGGCGGCGUGCUUAACACAUGCAAGUGGAGCGACGAACCAGGGCUUGCCCUGGGGCAAAGCCGCGAACGGGUGAGUAACACGUGGGUUACCUGCCCCGAUGACCGGAACAACCCGAGGAAACUCGGGCUAAUACCGGAUGUGCCCGCAAGGGGAAAGGAAGCCUUGGCCUC